rnacentral:rRNA from 5 species
GCGACCCCAGGAUGGGCGAGGCCACCCGCCGAGUUUAAGCAUAUCAUA